rnacentral:rRNA from 1 species
GACGAACGCUGGCGGCGUGCUUAACACAUGCAAGUCGAACGAUGAACUUGGAGCUUGCUCUGGGGGAUUAGUGGCGAACGGGUGAGUAACACGUGAGUAACCUGCCCUGGACUCUGGGAUAACUUCGAGAAAUCGGAGCUAAUACCGGAUAGGACCUUGCACCGCAUGGUGUGGGGUGGAAAGUUUUUCGGUUUGGGAUGGACUCGCGGCCUAUCCGCUUGUUGGUGAGGUAAUGGCUCACCAAGGCGUCGACGGGUAGCCGGCCUGUGAGGGUGACCGGCCACACUGGGACUGAGACACGGCCCAGACUCCUACGGGAGGCAGCAGUGGGGAAUAUUGCACAAUGGGCGCAAGCCUGAUGCAGCAACGCCGCGUGCGGGAUGACGGCCUUCGGGUUGUAAACCGCUUUUAGUAGGGAAGAAGCCUUCGGGUGACGGUACCUGCAGAAAAAGGACCGGCUAACUACGUGCCAGCAGCCGCCGUAAAAC